GACGAACCGUGCGAACGUUGUUCGGAAUCACUGGGCUUAAAGGGCGCGUAGGCGGGCUGUCAAGUCUGGGGUGAAAUGCUGCGGCUCAACCGUAGAACUGCCUCAGAUACUGACGGCCUCGAGGAAGGUAGGGGCAUGCGGAACUGUAGGUGGAGCGGUGAAAUGCGUUGAUAUCUACAGGAACGCCGGUGGCGAAAGCGGCGUGCUGGACCUUUUCUGACGCUGGGGCGCGAAAGCUAGGGGAGCAAACGGG
rnacentral:rRNA from 1 species